ACACACACACACACACACACACACACACACACACAUGUAAUGUGUGGGUGUGUACAAGUAUUCUACACAAAUGCAAACUGUGUCUGGUCUCCUGCUAGCCUACUUUAUAUGUAUUGCUUUUGGAAGACUCAAUGGAAUAUUGCAAAAAUUGCCUGUCUGCGGGGAAAAAAGAUGUUAUCAUUUUCACAUCUCCUUUGUGAAGUUUUGCUCAAGACUGUCAUGCAACUUUGUGUGUGUGCACACAGGAGAUAACCAGAGGCUUCAACACUUCAGUUGGGCCAUGGGAGGGUGUGAGAGCUGAUAUCAUUAAGGGAAAUGAAAUGGCACCAAAAGUGGCACAUUCAGAAAGAAUACAGGAAUAAGAUGAUCUGCACACCAACAUCCCAUUAAAGUUAUUCAUUUAUUUAUUUAUUUCUGGCUUCCUCAGAUGCAAAAAAUGCUAAGCAUUUGCAUUUAGGCAUCAUAGCAUUUGUUAAGUCUGAGGAAGAGCUGUAGGGGUUGAAACCUCACGGCAAAUAAAAAAAAAACGCAAAAAAUGAGAGCUCCUUGGUGUGUGGAUCAAAAGAGACGUCUUUUCUAUGGUCUCAAAUGUGUCAUGGACUUAACCAGAUGUCCAAGCACACGGAUGUUGGGAAGAAUUGGGCAGAAAAGUCUGUGUGAUUCAGCAGGUGAUCAGAAGUACAGUCUUUGAAAAAAAACAAAAAAAAAACUGGAUACAACUCUAAUGACACAGAAGUCCCCUAACUCAACCCAAAUCGAUGUGAAAUGUAAUUCUUAUUGUUAUCUCACCUGAUCACUUUUUUCCUUUUGAGCCAUCGUUUUUUAUUCAAGCUGACAGGGCCUUCAGCAUAGCACAACAGCAGUUACACUGAAAUAGACUAUACAUUUGAUUCAAAAUGGGCCUUUCCCUUCUUUCCUUCUACAAAUCUAUAUGACAAACAUGUUACAUUAGUCAUAAUCAGUAGUCCCCUUUGGCUUGUGAAGAGUAUCUCUAUAGUGAAAUAGUCAUGUGAACCAGUUACAUUUCCCACAAAGCUAGAUGUGUGGUCUGUCUCUCUAAUGGAGGGAUUUUUAGUUGUAAUAACCAUUUGGUUGUCUUCAUUGAAUGUAAUUAUUGAUGUGUAUACAACUUCAGAGCAUUCAGAAGCUUACCAUAAUAACGCCCAGGUGGGCUGCAUCAUGGCUUUCUCAUGUGGGGACAAAAGAUGUCUGUUAUUAGUUCUGCCAAGUGUGGGAUUAACAUUGUGGUGUGUCUGAAAGAUCUGUUUAGGGCUCUGCAGGUGCCUUCCAGGUGAGCUUUUGAUGAUAAGCUGCACUGAGACUUAAAGUCCAACACAUGGCCUUUACAUGCUAUCUGUAUAAAAUUGCUGUUAUUUAUAAAAAUAUUUUAAAAAAAUAUUUCUCAUAAAGUCAUUGUUUUAGAUAUUGGUAAACAGGUAGUCCAUGUUGCAGGUAUCAACCAUGCCAAAACACAACUAUACAACAUGUACAACUGUAGCAUGUGUGUGUCCUUAAAGCCUAUGAAUCAGUGUCAUGCACCAAUGACUAGAGCAAGUAGAGGAACUUUUGCAAUAUAUCUCUGUGUCAGGGUAAACUGAUAAUUUAUUAGUGUAUUACAGAUUAAUUAAAAUGUUCUCACUUUA